ACUACGGGAGUCAGCAGUAGGGAAUCUUCCACAAUGGGCGAAAGCCUGAUGGAGCAACGCCGCGUGGGUUAAGAAGGUCUUCGGAUCGUAAAACCCUGUUGUUAGAGAAGAAAGUGCGUGAGAGUAACUGUUCACGUUUCGACGGUAUCUAACCAGAAAGCCACGGCUGACGACGUGCCAGCAGCCGCGGUAAUACGUAGGUGGCAAGCGUUAUCCGGGUUUAUUGGGCGUAAAGGGAACGCAGGCAGUCUUUUAAGUCUUAUGUGAAAGCCUUCGGCUCAACCGGAGUAGUGCAUGGGAAACUGGGAGACUUGAGUGCAGAAGAGGAGAGUGGAACUCCAUGUGUAGCGGUGAAAUGCGUAGAUAUAUGGAAGAACACCAGUGGCGAAAGCGGCUCUCUGGUCUGUAACUGACGCUGAGGUUCGAAAGCGUGGGUAGCAAACAGGAGUAGAUACCCUUGUAGUC
rnacentral:rRNA from 1 species